rnacentral:rRNA from 1 species
AUUGAACGCUGGCGGCAGGCCUAACACAUGCAAGUCGAACGGUAGCACAGAGAGCUUGCUCUCGGGUGACGAGUGGCGGACGGGUGAGUAAUGUCUGGGAAACUGCCCGAUGGAGGGGGAUAACUACUGGAAACGGUAGCUAAUACCGCAUAACGUCGCAAGACCAAAGUGGGGGACCUUCGGGCCUCACACCAUCGGAUGUGCCCAGAUGGGAUUAGCUAGUAGGUGGGGUAAUGGCUCACCUAGGCGACGAUCCCUAGCUGGUCUGAGAGGAUGACCAGACACACUGGAACUGAGACACGGUCCAGACUCCUACGGGAGGCAGCAGUGGGGAAUAUUGAACAAUGGGCGCAAGCCUGAUGCAGCCAUGCCGCGUGUAUGAAGAAGGCCUUCGGGUUGUAAAGUACUUUCAGCGGGGAGGAAGGCGGUGGAGUUAAUAACUUCACCGAUUGACGUUACCCGCAGAAGAAGCACCGGCUAACUCCGUGCCAGCAGCCGCCGUAAAAC